UAAUUGAAGAGUUUGAUCAUGGCUCAGAUUGAACGCUGGCGGCAGGCCUAACACAUGCAAGUCGAACGGUAACAUGUCUAGCUUGCUAGAUGAUGACGAGUGGCGGACGGGUGAGUAAUACUUAGGGAUCUGCCCAGUGGCGGGGGAUAACAGUUGGAAACGACUGCUAAUACCGCAUAAUACCUUCGGGUCAAAGUGGGCUUCGGCUCACGCCACUGGAUGAACCUAAGCGAGAUUAGCUUGUUGGUGAGGUAAGAGCUCACCAAGGCGACGAUCUCUAGCUGGUCUGAGAGGAUGAUCAGCCACACUGGGACUGAGACACGGCCCAGACUCCUACGG
rnacentral:rRNA from 1 species